UCUGGGUAUGAGACACGCCAAAAAUAUUUCAAUGUUUUUCUCAAUAUUUUUGCGGAAAUAUUUGUGCCUCAGUGACUUUCGGUAUAUUAUGAUCUUCCUAGGAGUCUAUUACGUCUAUUACAAGCUAGUCUAUCAAUGAGUGAAUCCUGUCAAGAAUUUGAGCAAGAAUGAUAUUAAACAAGCUUUGGAGAAUUUAUUUGACUAUAUUUAGCGGCAUAAACCAAGGUAGCCACAGAAUAUAAUCCCUCAAGUGGAAAGAAGGACUGAUAAUAGAUGAACUACAAAAAUUACAGUAUGACACCCACGAGAAAUUAAGAGCUCUAGAAGAAAACCAAACAUAAAAUGUGACCAUGGUAUUAGGAAA